rnacentral:piRNA from 1 species
UAUCUUUGAUGAGCAUGAAGUGCCCC